GACGGCGUUAUCUAUCGCAGACUGAUUGUACAGGACGUCUGGCAUUAAAAGCUCUCCAUGACCAUUGCAACGGAAACAGGGCCCAAUGAGAGUGUUGAGUGAAGGAAACAAGCUGUGGUGUCCCGCAGGGCCCGAGGUCGGCCCUGGGUGUCCCUGUCGGUGUGGCUCCGGAUUGGGUCAGGAAACGCCGGACUGCUCCCUCUGUGCUCCCCAACGACCCCUGAGGACCCCGAGGUGGCAUUUCCCCUCCGAUUAGAGCUAAAAAU